GUCUAAAUAGAAAAUAAAAAUAUAUAUAUACAAAAUAAAAUAAUAUAAAAGAUUUCCGGAGCAGUCCUCGUAUUUACUUGGGGAGUACUGCCAUCUGCCGGUAGUUAUCUGGCCCCAGCGUGUCAGCUGGUUUGCUGUCAAUGCCGUUUUCGUGUCGGACUGUAGGUUAAUUUCCACGUGCAGUGCUGUCUAGAAUGUAACAAAUUAAUUGAUGCGGGAUUGAGGGCUGCGCCACCCGAACGAGGUAACCAACAGAACCUGCGGGCCCCUUAUGGUUAACGUAGGCGGGAGCACUGUGCCCCAGGUUCAGGCAGGACGGGGCGACGGGAAGAUACUACGGAGGUGUACUUCGUAUAAAACCAGGAGUCACGCUCCGAUUUCGUUUUGAAGACACGGACAGGUAGGAACGUAUGGAGAGUAGCUGGUAAUCUUGCGGAAUACUUGUUGUAGUAACCCGUUCGCUAGGGAGUACACCUAGGAACUGGAAUUACUCGGGGAAUUGGGAACUGGUCAGAGUAAUAAAGGUAACAGCUUGCACGUUUAAUAAAGGGUUGAAAGAUU